CAACGUCUACAUGAAGCUGCAAGGAGAUGUUAUUGACUGAUUUCAGGAAAGGUACCAUCAGUGAUAAUACCCACUUAUAUAUCUCCACCCUAGACCAAAUAGGAGAUGUGGCAAAAACUUUCAACGGUUGCUGCAAGGGGGAUGGAUGAAGCAGAGACCAUGAAUCCUAGCAAGAAAGAACACUGAACAUCAGUGUUCUAGUUCCAUGCACAUUCCAUCUAUUGUUCCUGAAAGGAUUGCACUUCACUUGAAAGAACAGCUUACUGCAAGUUUCUUUCUAUGGGACUGCAGGUGAAGUUGACCCAGAAGAUGCCACUGGAAAAACUGUAGCUGUGCAUUUGUGACCAGUGCUAACCAAAGUAGCAGGAUAACCUCUCUGUUGCAGUUGUUCCAUUGGUUGCUGGUAGGAUUCUGAGCUCAAUUCAAGGUGCUGGUUGUCACCAAUAAAGCCUUCUAUGCAAGUGU